rnacentral:rRNA from 1 species
GUGGGGAAUCUUGGACAAUGGGGGCAACCCUGAUCCAGCGAUGCCGCGUGGGUGAUGAAGGCCUUCGGGUUGUAAAGCCCUUUCGCCGGGGACGAUAGUGACGGUACCCGGAGAAGAAGCCUCGGCUAACUCCGUGCCAGCAGCCGCGGUAAGACGGAGGAGGCUAGCGUUGUUCGGAAUUACUGGGCGUAAAGCGCGCGCGGGCGGUUUUGCAAGUCAGGGGUGAAAGCCCGGGGCUCAACCUCGGAACGGCCUUUGAGACUGCAGAACUAGAGACCGGAAGAGGAGAGUGGAAUUCCCAGUGUAGAGGUGAAAUUCGUAGAUAUUGGGAAGAACACCAGUGGCGAAGGCGGCUCUCUGGUCCGGUACUGACGCUGAGGCGCGAAAGCGUGGGGAGCAAACAGGAUUAGAUACCCGGGUAGUCC